UUAUAUACACUGUUUCGUUAAUGUAAGCUCGCGAGAUCAGGAUGAUUCAGAAAAGGCAAGUCAAAUGGCGGCUUCAAUGGUUUCGGUCGUCUUUCAAGGAGUUUGCUCGUGGUGAAAUGGCGACAUGAGGCUGUGUGAUGAAGUGUCAAAAUAGAGGGAAGCAAACUGAAGUUAUCCUUCACCAUUUGGUGAGAGAAGCCAACUGCAUGGAAUGGCGUCGAUUAAUGAGGAUGAAUCGGAGCACGUGUCAAACUCAUUCCAUGGAGGACCAAGUGUCUGCGGGUUUUCGCUCCACACCUGUACUUGAUUAAUGAAUUAAGACCGACUCAGAUUGUCUGAGGCCGUUAAUGUCAACAGUGAGGACAAACCCAGCCUGCCUCUCUCCUUCCACACUGAGUAGAAACACUGGGUCUUGAUUGUGACAGGGGAGGCAAGUUUGCACUGCAGGAUCCAGAGAUGGCAUCAGUGAAGCUGGAAGACUGCAGUCAAACACUGGAGCUGAAUGUCAACAUUAAAGAUGAAGAAGAGGAGGAGAAGAUUAGGACAACUGUUAGUCAUGGAUACCAUGUUGAGACAUUCUCCACAUCCAGAGAGCAACAGCAGGAAGAUCAGAGAGCUAAGAGGUCUCAUCACUGCCCACAUUGUGAAGAGAUUUUCCCAUUUCUAUCAAAGCUAAAAGUUCACCAGAGAUCACACACAGGAGAGAAGCCUUACGUCUGCUCUGACUGUGGAACUCGUUUCUCUCACCUUUCCAACUUAAGAUCACAUGAACGUAUACAUACAGGGGAGAAGCCUUACUCCUGCUCUGACUGUGGAAAAAGUUUUAAAACAUCA